ACGGGUGAGUAACGCGUGGGAACGUGCCCUUCGGUUCGGAAUAACUCAGGGAAACUUGAGCUAAUACCGGAUACGCCCUUUUGGGGAAAGGCUUGACUGCCGAAGGAUCGGCCCGCGUCCGAUUAGCUAGUUGGUGAGGUUAUGGCUCACCAAGGCGACGAUCAGUAGCUGGUCUGAGAGGAUGAUCAGCCACACUGGGACUGAGACACGGCCCAGACUCCUACGGGAGGCAGCAGUGGGGAAUAUUGGACAAUGGGGGCAACCCUGAUCCAGCCAUGCCGCGUGAGUGAUGACGGCCUUAGGGUUGUAAAGCUCUUUUCUCCGGGACGAUAAUGACGGUACCGGAGGAAUAAGCCCCGGCUAACUUCGUGCCAGCAGCCGCGGUAAUACGAAGGGGGCUAGCGUUGCUCGGAAUCACUGGGCGUAAAGGGCGCGUAGGCGGCUGAUUUAGUCGAGGGUGAAAGCCCGUGGCUCAACCACGGAAUGGCCUUCGAUACUGAUUGGCUUGAGACCGGAAGAGGACAGCGGAACUGCGAGU
rnacentral:rRNA from 1 species